CAGCCGGGCCCCGAGCGAGCUGCGCGCGUCCGGGCGGGAGCCCGGGCUCCGGGGUUCAAAGGGCCGCAGCCCCCAGGGAAUGCCCUCCUCUCUGUGCCCCGGGGGACAGAAGCGGACUGCAGGGCGGUGGGACCGGCCUGGGCCACGCCCAGAUUUGGUCAUUCUAACUUUUGAAAUGUCUCGUCGUGAGUGAAUGAAUCUACAUUGCACUCAAUUUCUUGUGCAGGUCUGGAGCUGUGGCGUUCCUGAACCGUAUUCCUGAAGGCCCGGCAGCUGCCAUUAAUCACACGACGCAUCCAUCUGUGGGCUUGUCAUCGGAGCUGCUCCCCCUGGUCGCCAAAGCAGGCGACUGGCAGACACCAAGUGCUUGGCCCUGGGGGUCUUCGGCAAUGACUGGGUAGAGAAGUUGCUUCUCCUCGUCUGCAUUUUCAUUCUUACUAAAUCCAAUGUGCUCUUUCAGAACAAGGCAGUCAUGUCGAGAGAGAAUGGAGUGAACUGGAUGCUGUUCAGCUUUGUUGCUGAAGUGGGGAGAUUAGAAGUUUUAAACAUCGCUGGGCAUGAACAUGCCUGAUCCAAUCAAUGCACGAGGAACAGGGCUUCCAGUGAUGAACUGGUUUUCCACCUAAUCACUCAAGGAACGCUUGGUUUUAUGUGCAGAAGCAGCCAGGACACAUACAUGGUUUGGAGGAAAGUGAGUGGGGGUAGAAGGGGGCAGAAGGAGAUCAACGGUAAUAGAAAAAAAAGCAAUAUAAACAAACAGCAAACUUCCAAUUCUUCUCCACCCCCGCACCCCUCUGGGGAGAUGAUACCCAUGAACUCUGGCACAAGAAAACCUUCCAAGGAAUAGAAUGAACAUUAUUUGCAACAUGAAAUGUUAUUCACGACAUAGGGACCCUGUGCAAAGGCCUCAGUACAAUGUAAUUAUUGGCUCAGUGUGAAGAUCCCUAUGAACUAGGGCCAAUGUCUCCUUCCCAGGGAGAGUUAAGUUUUCUAAGGAGUGUCUGGCUCUUCCUACUGGUUCCUUUGUUUUGUUCUCCUUCGGAAUGAGUCUGUCAACAGUACCAUGGUUUAUCCUUCAUUGCAGACUCUGGAAGGCCUUGAUCCUUUUCUUGGAAGUGAAUUAAUAAUGUCAGGACACAAGCCGUAUACCCCAACUCUCUACACCCUCCAGAUCUCAAGACAGAGUGUUGGGUUGCUGGAAUACGUUAUCUGAGUUGGCUUUGACUGUUUCCUUCAGUGGUAGAGGCAGACUUGGGCCGGCCCCUUCACUGGCUCUUGCUGGGGACUCUCACCUCAACCUACUGGGAUGGACUUGUGAGAAGGAAGGGAUCACGGGCUGUAGUCACGGGACAAAGGGUGACCAUUCCCAACCUUAGCUUCAUUCAUGCCAACUAAGCCUCUACACCCAGAAACAGAGAACCACCAACUGGAACCCUUGAAGAAUGGACUUCCCACCUUGGCCAACACGGCUUAGUUGGUUGGGCAUCAUCCUGCAAACCACAGGUCACGGGGUCGAUUCUCGGGCAGGGCACAUGCCUGGAUUUUGGGCCUCGUUCUUGGUCAGGGAGUGUUGGCAAGGCAAGUGAUCGAUGUUUCUCUCCCUCUCUUUCUCCCUCCCUUCAUCUCUCUCUAGAAUCAAUAAAAGAAAACAAAAUUUAAAAAAAAUAAUGGAUUUCCUCCCCAAAGUGAGUAUUUCCCCCAUUUCCACUGGUUUUCUGACUGAAACAACAAUGACCCACCCCCCAACUACUGAAAGCCUGCUCCGUUUAGCCACCAUCCCGAACGCUUCACGUAGCGUUAUGGUAUCAGCAUUUUGGCUCCAUACUUACAGGGGUUCUACCAUCACCAGCAUCGGUGGAAAUCAUGGUGGUUUACUGAGAACUAAUUCUUUUUCCAGGGACACAGAGAGCAGGUUAUGCUAUGACACCUUCAGCAGACCUGUAGAUUAAAAAAUAUCCCCAUAUUACAGAUGCAAAAACCGAGGCCCAGAGAAAUAACUGAUGUGCCACGGUCACAAAAUGCAUCUCGUAGGAGGGGAGGAGUUAGACUCGCUGAUCUGCAUGGCUACAGUUUCUGGCACUUUGUGGAGUAAAAGGAAACAAAAAAUCGAUGCCAGAUUUAUACAAGUAUUUCACUAGGAAGAGAAAGGAAAAGUUAGGACGAAGGAGUAAAACUAUAACAUCUUGUGACCGGAAGCUUAACACUUUUAAAUUCUGAGACAGUAAAUAUUCUUCAGAACCACGACACCCUGAAAAGUUACCCCAAAUUAAACACAAAUCUCUUCUAUAUCUACACAGCUGUCUCACUGUUUAAUUUUUUAAAAUAAAUUUGUUGGAGCGACACUGGUUAAUAAAAUUACAGGUUUUAAGUGUAUUGUUAUCUAAUGUUUUGAAUUAAAUUUUGCUUUAAUUUAUAGUCAGAAGUGGUUCGUUUUCCCCUUUGUUUCUUUCUCCCUUUUAAUCAUUCCUCAAGCUUAAAACAACUUCAAUACUUGUGAAAGCACAAUAGAUGUUAGACAAUAAAAGGACUUCAGAUCUGGGGGCGUUAUCAUGGUUUUGUUUUCUUUCUUGAGAAUCUGGCUCAUACCUUGCUUUAUCAUAACACUUAGGAAAUGAGUCACGUGUGUGAAUAGUAACUUGGGAAUGCGAGGAUUAUGAGGGAGAGUGAACUCAGAGGAAACACAAUGACAGGGCUGAGAGUCACCACUUACGUGCAAUGGGGUAAAAAGUGACUUUACCCACCGAGGACAUAGGGCUCUUUCCUACGAGGGACCCGGUGCUCCCAGACGCGGCGGGCCAGUUACCAUCUCCUUGCAUUUAAUCUUAAGUACGUACAGUUCAUCUCACAUACAGAGGAGGUGGAAAUAGGGGGGCUUCCUCUGAGAAAGACAAAGAUGAAUGACAAGAAUGCUUAUUUAACAGAGUGUAAAAGGAACCCUCGGUGUAUAUUACUGGACUUACGCAGACCGACAUGAGCAUCCUAGCAAAGAUGAAGUGCCUUUGGAGGACUUUUGUCUGCGUACUUGAGUACAACCUGGUGAAGGGACAGACAGAUGCAGGACAGACGUGGUUGCCUACGGAGCCCCUCGGAACCAAAGGGCAUCCGCCUGCCUCCGCUGCACAAACCCACAUCAACACCUCCACCUCCAGCAUCUUCAUUUCUGCCCUGUCCCCACACCAGCAUCACAGAAGGGAAGGAAGUUGAUUCCCCAUCAACCAUCCGCUCUUGGGCCACGCUCAGAGCGUGCCAACCAGGUUGCCAACUCUGAUGUAGACACCUGCCCAUUUGGAACAGGAGCGGAGGCAGCCGCGCCGCGUCUAGAAAUCAUCAAACACCCUGUCAGCGAACACCAGCUCUCCGCAAUCUGGGCGAGACGCGGAGGGGUCACGUCGGUAGCCAAUUACUAAUCCGCCGAGACAUUUAGGUCUUUUCAGAUGGACAGAAGUUUCUGACUCCUGUGAUCUCAGGAGGGUUAUCUUUUAAUGAGGAAGAUAAUAAAUUGCUCUAACUAUAAUUUUUGUUAUGCAGGGCUAAUAAGGUCAAUCAUAUUUUUAAGGGGCCUUCCUGACUGACAUCUCCAUUGUGCAAACAACAAUGGAAAUGAUUUUCAACCCCAUUGCUAUCGGAGCCUGAAAAUAUAGCAUAAAUUCAAAUAGAAGCUUGUGUAUUCCCCAGUUUCUGUGUGCGUGCAAGCGUGUGUUAAAGGGGCCUUAACUCUUCACCUUGUUCACGCUGGCCCGGUCUUUCU